AGUGAACGCUGGCGGUAGGCCUAACACAUGCAAGUCGAACGGCAGCACAGUAAGAGCUUGCUCUUACGGGUGGCGAGUGGCGGACGGGUGAGGAAUACAUCGGAAUCUACUUUUUCGUGGGGGAUAACGUAGUGAAACUUACGCUAAUACCGCAUACGACCUACGGGUGAAAGCAGGUGAUCUUCGGACCUUGCGCGAUUGAAUGAGCCGAUGUCGGAUUAGCUAGUUGGCGGGGUAAAGGCCCACCAAGGCGACGAUCCGUAGCUGGUCUGAGAGGAUGAUCAGCCAGACUGGAACUGAGACACGGUCAAGAAUCAUAAGGGAGGCAGCAGUAGGGAAUAUUGGACAAGGAGCGCAAGACUGAUGAAGACAAACCGCGUGAGUGAAGAAGGCCUUCGAGUUGUAAAGCACUUUUGUUGGGAAAGAAAAGAAGCAGGUUAAUACCCCGCUGUUAUGACGGUACCCAAAGAAUAAGCAACGGCGAACUUCGUG
rnacentral:rRNA from 1 species